rnacentral:rRNA from 1 species
GACGAACGCUGGCGGCGUGCUUAACACAUGCAAGUCGAACGGAAAGGCCCCCUUGUGGGGUACUCGAGUGGCGAACGGGUGAGUAACACGUGAGUAACCUACCCUUGACUUUGGGAUAACUUCAGGAAACUGGGGCUAAUACCGGAUAGGAGCUCCUGCUGCAUGGUGGGGGUUGGAAAGUUUCGGCGGUUGGGGAUGGACUCGCAGCUUAUCAGCUUGUUGGUGGGGUAGUGGCUCACCAAGGCUUUGACGGGUAGCCGGCCUGAGAGGGUGACCGGCCACAUUGGGACUGAGAUACGGCCCAGACUCCUACGGGAGGCAGCAGUGGGGAAUAUUGCACAAUGGGCGGAAGCCUGAUGCAGCAACGCCGCGUGCGGGAUGACGGCCUUCGGGUUGUAAACCGCUUUCGCCUGUGACGAAGCGUGAGUGACGGUAAUGGGUAAAGAAGCACCGGCUAACUACGUG